CACAUUAACAAUACGUAUGCAAACGCAUCUCAAAGAGACCCGAAAAUUUUGAUGACUACUACCUGGGACCCGAGUGCUCCACUAAUACAAUUUGCAAAGGCGGGUGUUGAUUAUUGAUUGUCGUUGAAUCACACUGGCGCAAGAACUGAAACUCUUUUUUCCCAUUGCGCUACAAAUGAAUCGUGGUGGCCAGGUGCAGGAUGUUUUGUGAUGCUACAUGGCAGCCAAUUUUGAGGAAUGACAGUAGGAUAAUAUUAUUGUGUAACAUAUGCUUUCGUAUAAGCACUCUAGAUGUACAUUAAAAAUUUAUCAAUCAAUAAAGUAUUAUUUCUUAACAA